rnacentral:rRNA from 1 species
GACGAACGCUGGCGGCGUGCUUAACACAUGCAAGUCGAACGGUGAACUCCGCUUGCGGGGGGAUCAGUGGCGAACGGGUGAGUAACACGUGGGCAACCUGCCCUCAGCUCUGGGAUAACUCCAAGAAAUUGGGGCUAAUACCGGAUAUGACCGCUGACCGCAUGGUCUGGUGGUGGAAAGAUUUAUCGGCUGGGGGUGGGCCCGCGGCCUAUCAGCUUGUUGGUGGGGUAGUGGCCUACCAAGGCGACGACGGGUAGCCGGCCUGAGAGGGUGACCGGCCACACUGGGACUGAGACACGGCCCAGACUCCUACGGGAGGCAGCAGUGGGGAAUAUUGCGCAAUGGGCGAAAGCCUGACGCAGCGACGCCGCGUGGGGGAUGACGGCCUUCGGGUUGUAAACCUCUUUCAGCAGGGACGAAGCGAAAGUGACGGUACCUGCAGAAGAAGCACCGGCCAACUACGUG